rnacentral:rRNA from 1 species
ACAGCAGCAGCCGCGGUAAUACGAGGGGGGCAAGCGUUGUUCGUAAUUAUUGGGCGUAAAGGGUGCGUAGGCGGUUUGAUAAGUCUUGUGUGAAAUCUAUGGGCUCAACCCAUAGUCUGCAUAGGAAACUGUCGGGCUUGAGAGUGGGAGAGGUGAGUGGAAUUUCCGGUGUAGCGGUGAAAUGCGUAGAUAUCGGAAGGAACACCUGUGGCGAAAGCGGCUCACUGGACCAUUUCUGACGCUGAUGCACGAAAGCUAGGGGAGCAAACAGGAUUAGAUACCCCCGUAGUCCCUGUCUCUUAUAC